rnacentral:lncRNA from 1 species
UCUCGGCUCCCCGGGGGAAGGGAAGCGGGUCCUGCCCAGGCCCCGGGACCCGGGCUCCGGGGAGGCACGGCAGCCGGGCUCCGCGACCCCAACCUGCACCGGCGAGCGCGCCCAGCCCAGGCCGCUCCCGGCUCGGGCCUUGGUCUCGGGGUGCCCGUGGGGUGGCCUGGGUUCGGGAGCCCAGCGGGACACGGGCCUCCCUCCAGGGGCGGCCGCCUGGCCCCUGCUCGCGCGCUCGGGCUCGGGCGGCUGGAGCCCAACGCAGCCCCUAGCAGCCCCUGCCCGAACGAAUGCUCGGAUCCGGGCCCUGGGCGACGUGGUGGGGUCGCCGGCCGCCCCCGGCCAGGUCUGAGCGCGGGAAAGCGGGGCGCGGGGCCGGGGCCAGGCCCAGCCCCUGGCGCGCUGGCCCGCUCGGCAGGAAAAAGUUGUCGAGGGGGAGGGCCGUCAAAGUUUCGGGAACUUUUCCACUUGAGAUUCCACAACCCUGCAGUGCCCCCUACAGAAAGCGGCCGCCGGGGAGGGCGGGCGCCCCUGCGACCCCGACUGCCGGCGGCGGCGCGGCCCAGCAGGCCUGGAGCGCCUGCUUUUGCUUUUUUUUUUUUCCCCCUGGUUGUUUUUCGGAUACAUCUUUUUUUCAGAAUUGAAAAAAAGCGAGCGCGAGCCGCCGCCUGCAGUGGAGCGUGCUCGGCCUCCAGAGGCAGUCGUCUCCAACUUUUGCUCUCCCGCCCCAACUCCGCGCGCGCCUCAAACUUCGGCUCUGCUGGAGCCCAAACUUGCCUGCCGCGCAACUCCACUCUAAUGUGCGCGCCAAGGCUUCUGGCCGCGGUGGGCAGCCUGGGGGCCACCCUGCCGAGGCCCAGGCCUGCCCGCUCGCCCGCUCGCCGCGCCUGGGCCCAGCUGGGGAAGGGGAACCCGAGCACCCGGGAGAGGGCGGAGCGCUCCCGCGCCCCGGGGCACGGGGGCAGGGAGCUCCCGCGCCCGGAACGUUGCAAGCAAGGCUUGCUAACGUCGCAGGGGGGCACUCGCGAGAGACGGACAGGAAGAGGGCCAGGGGGGACGCCAGAACCCGGGACCACAGCACGGAAACGGCCCGGGGCUGAGCUGCAGUCAGAUCCGGGGAUGGAGGGAGCCGGAGAAGAGGAGUGA